GCCGCGGCGGGGUCCCCGGGCCUCACCCCGACGCGAGCAGCUCGGGCCGGCCCUGUGGAGUGAAGCGCCCGGAUACUCGACCCCGCGCCCAGCCAGGGCCACCACCACAGGGCAGCGCCCCGGCACAUCCGGUCCGCAGCCGCGGUUCUGUGGCAGUUAAGGGCCUAAGAAGAGGACUAGCGGGGAGCAGUAGGUGGAUGUCCGGGUUCGAGCGGCUGCAUCUUGCACGGUGGCAACAAACAGCUUGGAAAAAGACUAUGAAGUUCCACUGCGAGCUGCUUCCUGCCUGCGGCCGGCCGAGCGAGUCAAGCGGCAGAACAGUCAGGGACGGGAACCGAGAAGCCUAAAGAGAGACUAACUGCUCCCUUCGGGCAAGGAGAUACAUAAAAGGGGGUGCCAACAUCCAAAAGGGUCGUGCUCCAGUUCCAGUGCUCCUCUUCUGGCUCCUACAGCACAGCUGCCAGUGGGCGGCUUCCCGGUGAGACUUUGCCAGCACCAGGCAGACAGUUUCCUGCUUGCCAGCCGCAGCCUGCAGCACCUCAGCGGACUUCUCUGCCAGCCAGUGGGCCACAACCUCACCCUCGCCAACGAGUUCUGGAUCUCGGCCUUGGCGGGGAGGGAGAGCUUGUCCUUCCUUGGCUUCUCCAUGUCAGCCCUAAAGAUUCCUGGUGUGCUUUCUGUCUCCUGACUGGAUCCUGGCUGAUACGGGCUGCAUUCAUUAUUUAUUUUCACUUGUCCUUUGAGAACAAAAUCCUUCAAAGCAUAUGGAGAACAUGGAGAGAGCGCUGAAGGGCUGACACUGACCACAGUCUCAUGCGGGCCUUUCUCCUCGGCUGCCCCACCCUGCCCUGCCCUGUGCAGCAGCGUCUUAGCUGGGGCAGCCGGCUCCGUCCCAGGGUCCGCAGCCAAGUUUGAUCACAUUAAGGAGGCAGUGUGUUGGAGGACCAACCACUUUUAUUACUUUAUGCCUUGACCUUAGAAUGUAGCCCUCCCUGAGAUACAAUUCACAACCAUAAACAAAUCUGUUAUAAUACAGAAUUAAGCUUAUAAAGAUAGAUCAGUCAGGGGACAGAAACCAUGCCAGCCGUUUAACAGAGAAUAUAACAUAAAGAAUUUUUAACUAGGUUUAAAGUUUUUAACCAGAUCACUGAAAAGUAAAAAAAAAAGUGUGGUAUCACAUAAGUAGCAACUGCAAGAAGCAGCUACCCACCCUAGGGCUGAGGGAAAAAUGGAAGAGGUUGAAUCAUGAAAACUUAGAAGUUGGAAGAAGACCUCUGCAGAAUUGGAACUCAGACCUGUGGGGAAAAAGUGGUCAGGCCACUUUAAAGCUGAUUCUGCAAGUACCAGGAAAAUUGCAGAUUGGAUUUAGAAACGGCUAAAGGAAGGAGCUGGUCCCCUCUUCCCCUCCCUCCUUGCAGUCUCCCUCAUUACCGGGCUUGGGAAGAGCCUAACAUAGAACCAGCUGGGCGAAGCAUAAAUGGAGUUUGCAGAGUCCCAGCCCCAGCAUCAGAAAGCAGAGGACGGAAAGUGAGUUUGGAGCUGGGAGACAAAGGGCUUAAUGUUGUACAGAACACAGUAGCCCUGAAGGCAAACAGGAAACUUCUUAGAAUAAACCACCCAGAAACAUGAGAGUUAUCUUAAGAGCGAUGAUCUUAAGACCAAUGUCCAAGCAUCUGCCAUAUAGACUAUACUUUUGUUGCUUCCUUUGAUAGUUCUAGCUCAAUUGUUCCCAAGCUUUAGUGUCUGAGAAUUACUCUCAGACUUUGCACCAUACUCUGAUCCCAGGGAGAAGUUGUUUCUCUCCAAUUACGUGAAGAGAGGGCUGGCUGAGGAAAGUGGCGGGGAGCAGUAGGUCCAAACAUCAACAGCUUCUCAACAAUUUCCACUGAUCUCCCAGAAGUGAGUAUGGGAUUGAGAGUGCAAGUUCCUGAGGCCCCAAAAGAGAAACAUGGGAAAUCUUGGUGAAGUUGUGGAGAAACCAGAACCCUCCCACAUGGGUGGUGGGAAUGGAAAAUGGUGCAUUCACUUUGGGAAAGUCUUUUUUCCAUGUUAAACACUAAAUCUAAUAAAUGAAAGAUAUAAAUAUAAAACACAUAUAUACACGAGAACACAAGAAGGACUGUCACUGAACCUGGAAUUGCAAGGAAUCUGAGGACCUGAAACUACCAGGGAUGACUAGAAGAAGGCAAGAUUAGAUUGAAGAAAGAAGCUGUAGCCCAGGACACACGGGGGAGCCAAGGGCAGGGUCCCUCCAAGGAUGCUGGCAGCAGGCAGAAGGGGCUUCAUACUCAAGGCGGGUGAAUGCAGGGACGACCGCUAGGGUAACUAGCUGGGGCACUGAAGCAGGAGCGUUGACCCCAUGCACCCUGACCAGGGCCCAGGUGACUGUGAUAGGUUGUCUAGACCAGGCAGGAGGGAGUCAAGAAUGUGGGAGCUUAUAGCAGAGAGACAGGGUGGUCCCUGGGGUGGCUGGGCCCACCCAGGAGAAACCUGAGUGCCCAAGCCCAGAAGACUAGGUGCUGAGAUGCCCUACCUGGUGGCAGGUCUUGCCUGUCCCCCCCCCGCUGAAAAUAGCACAGAGAGCAACUCUGGCCUCAUCCCCCAAGCAGGCCAUGCACACGGAGACAGCCAACAGUCCACCUGGGAUCGUCCACCAUACAGAUGACUUUGCAGGAGGAUCACUAGAUGAUUUGAGAAAAGCCAAUACCAUCAAAAAGAGACCAGAUCUUCUUACAACUUCUGUGGCUGUAAAAUAAAGAAAAAAAAAAAAAAGGACCAAAGGAGAAAGAUGUAUACCUGGAAGAAUUAACAGACCAAACUGAACAGUACGUUGUGGCAGAAGCUGGCAGUUGUUCACCAAGUCUGCCUUGCUUCCCUCCUGGGAACACAGCAAGGACUUUCCCAGACUCCCUGGAAGUGAGGUGCCACCGUGUGACCAGGUUCACAGUGGAACGAGAACAGAUGGUGCACACCACUCCCGCCAGGCCUGGCCUGCAAGUACCUCUGCGCCCCGUGUCCCCCUUCGGCCAGCUGCCUGCCACCAUCCAGGGCAAUCCUGGAAGAUACAUGAUGAAGGAGACAAGCUCCUCUGUCAGCUUCUGUCAAACCAGGUCCCUAAAUGGCUGUGGGGACCCUGCUGCCUCCCCACUCACCCUUGUAAUGGUGAGAAGGGAACUUCCAUUGGGUUGAACCACACUGAGUUUGGGGUGUUUUGUUAUUUCUUUUUUCUUGCUACAGCAGCUAGUAUUACCUUCACUAAUAUAAAGGCCACAUUUUAAAAUAAAUCCUUUCCUUGAAGAUACAAAGGAGUAUAUUACAUCUGUGAGAUAAAGACAGCCAAUUGCAGGAGGGAAUCAAUUAGAGACUUUGUAAAUAUAAAUAUAAACUACUGAAAUGUAAAACUCAGUGGAUGAGCUGAAUAGUAGACUGUAUCAAUUAAAUAGAAAAAAAAAACACUGGAAGAUUAGGCAUAAGAACAUUUCCAGAAUGCAGAACAAAGGGAGAUGGGGGAAAGAAAGAAAACUUAAAUGACAUGGAG